GUCUGUUACCUGAAAAAUCGAAAUUCCGUUAUAAUGAAACUUACAACGCAUUUUCAAUUUGGAAAGAUCCGAAGCCCGCAAGUCUCCUAGCAGUUUAUGGUGUGAAUAUUCAAUGCUGAAAUUAACGUCGUGUCAGUUCUGUUUGUUACCUCAAUUAUAUAAGAAAAUGUUGGAAGCUCAUGCAGUUGAUGAAAAUGUGACAGUUACUAAUUUUGAAAUAACUUCAAAUAAUAAUCCUUUAAUAAAUAUUACUGAGUGUAGUGUUACAGUUAAUAUUAAUAAAUAAUUAUAAAAGAAA